rnacentral:rRNA from 1 species
GACGAACGCUGGCGGCGUGCCUAAUACAUGCAAGUUGAGCGCUGAAGGUUGGUACUUGUACCAACUGGAUGAGCAGCGAACGGGUGAGUAACGCGUGGGGAAUCUGCCUUUGAGCGGGGGACAACAUUUGGAAACGAAUGCUAAUACCGCAUAAAAACUUUAAACACAAGUUUUAAGUUUGAAAGAUGCAAUUGCAUCACUCAAAGAUGAUCCCGCGUUGUAUUAGCUAGUUGGUGAGGUAAAGGCUCACCAAGGCGAUGAUACAUAGCCGACCUGAGAGGGUGAUCGGACACAUUGGGACUGAGACACGGCCCAAACUCCUACGGGAGGCAGCAGUAGGGAAUCUUCGGCAAUGGACGAAAGUCUGACCGAGCAACGCCGCGUGAGUGAAGAAGGUUUUCGGAUCGUAAAACUCUGUUGGUAGAGAAGAACGUUGGUGAGAGUGGAAAGCUCAUCAAGUGACGGUAACUACCCAGAAAGGGACGGCUAACUACGU